GACGAACGCUGGCGGCGUGCCUAAUACAUGCAAGUCGAACGCACUCUCGUUUAGAUUGAAGGAGCUUGCUCCUGAUUGAUAAACAUUUGAGUGAGUGGCGGACGGGUGAGUAGCACGUGGGUAACCUGCCCUAAAGUGGGGGAUAACAUUUGGAAACAGAUGCUAAUACCGCAUAAAACCUAACACCGCAUGGUGUAGGGUUGAAAGAUGGUUUCGGCUAUCACUUUAGGAUGGACCCGCGGUGCAUUAGUUAGUUGGUGAGGUAAAGGCUCACCAAGACCGUGAUGCAUAGCCGACCUGAGAGGGUAAUCGGCCACACUGGGACUGAGACACGGCCCAGACUCCUACGGGAGGCAGCAGUAGGGAAUCUUCCACAAUGGACGAAAGUCUGAUGGAGCAACGCCGCGUGAGUGAAGAAGGUUUUCGGAUCGUAAAACUCUGUUGUUGGAGAAGAAUGUAUUUGAUAGUAACUGAUCAGGUAGUGACGGUAUCCAACCAGAAAGCCACGG
rnacentral:rRNA from 1 species